UAAUUGAAGAGUUUGAUCAUGGCUCAGAUUGAACGCUGGCGGCAGGCCUAACACAUGCAAGUCGAGCGGUAACAGGGGAAGCUUGCUUC
rnacentral:rRNA from 2 species